GCGUUUAUAGCUCAGUAGGUUAGAGUGUUAGGUUGUGGCUCUAAAAGUCGCAAGUUCGAACCUUGCUUUUCGCC
rnacentral:tRNA from 1 species